AUGGCCUGGGCCCUGUGUCUCCUCACAUUACUCGGUUACUGCUCAGGUGCCAGUUCGCAGCCAACUUUGACUCAGCCCCCCUCACAGUCUGUGUCUCCUGGCCAAACGGCGAAACUCUCCUGCACCGUCAGCAGUGACAAGAUUACCGUCUGCUGGGUUCAACAGAGAUCUGGACAAGCCCCUCGCUUCGUACAGUGUGCCGGCGGUAGCAGGGGACCAGGGAUCCCGGAUCGGUUCACCGCUUCUGAUUCUGGGAACGUCGGCUCUUUAACCAUCACAAAUACCCAGCCUGAAGACGAGGCUGAUUAUUACUGUUACAUGUGGUAUAGCAGCGGUAAGCAGUUCCACGGUGGUAAAACCUGA